UUGGGAACUGUCUCUUCUCUUUCUCCCAAACUCUACCCCUUCCUCCCCAGACAUCCUUUCUUAAGCACCCUACUCUGGCACUCAGCAAGCCAUGGGAAUGAGAAAGAAUUGGCUGGAAGUAAACAGUCUGCUUGCUCAUAGCAACUGAAAGUUUUCUUCCGAUGGUUCUGGUUCCAGGGGAGGUUGCUGAAGAUUAAAUCCUGAAGUCUGUCCCAUUCAGAGAGCAGCAGCCUGGCUUCUGGUGGCUACAGCAUCAGCCUUUCCAUCCAUUUCUUUUCUCAUGAAGCUUCUUCUAGUUGGAAAUUUACCAAAUUUCACCAGCCACUCCAGUGAUUUUCAGCAAAUGAAGAGUCUGAAAUGUUCUG